rnacentral:rRNA from 1 species
UACGUAGGGUGCAAGCGUUGUCCGGAAUUAUUGGGCGUAAAGAGCGUGUAGGCGGCCCGAUUAGUCCGCUGUGAAAGUCCAGGGCUCAACCCUGGGAUGCCGGUGGAUACUGUCGGGCUCGAGUCCGGAAGAGGCGAGUGGAAUUCCUGGUGUAGCGGUGAAAUGCGCAGAUAUCAGGAGGAACACCGGUGGCGAAGGCGGGGUCUCUGGGCCGAUACUGACGGCUGAGGAGCGAAAGCAUGGGUAGCGAACAGG